GUGAAGCGGUAACAGCUCAAAUUUGAAAUCUGGCUCUUUCAGGGUCCGAGUUGUAAUUUGUAGAAGAUGCUUCGGGUGUGGCUCCGGUCUAAGUUCCUUGGAACAGGACGUCAUAGAGGGUGAGAAUCCCGUAUGUGACUGGCUGCCUCCGCCCAUGUGAAGCUCUUUCGACGAGUCGAGUUGUUUGGGAAUGCAGCUCAAAAUGGGUGGUAAAUUUCAUCUAAAGCUAAAUAUUGGCCAGAGACCGAUAGCGCACAAGUAGAGUGAUCGAAAGAUGAAAAGCACUUUGGAAAGAGAGUUAAACAGUACGUGAAAUUGUUGAAAGGGAAGCGCUUGCAAUCAGACUUGCACGCUGCUGAUCAUCGGAGGUUCUCCUUCGUGCACUCGGUAGCGUUCAGGCCAGCAUCGGUUUGGGUGGUUAGAUAAAGGCCUUGGGAACGUAGCUUCUUUCGGGGAGUGUUAUAGCCCAGGGUGCAAUGUAGCCUACCCGGACCGAGGACCGCGCUUCGGCUAGGAUGCUGGCGUAAUGGUUGUAAGCGACCCGUCUUGAAACACGGACCAAGGAGUCUAACAUCUAUGCGAGUAUUUGGGUGUCAAACCCAUAUGCGUAAUGAAAGUGAACGGAGGUGAGAACCCUUAAGGGUGCAUCAUCGACCGGUCCUGAAGUCUUCGGAUGGAUCUGAGUAAGAGCAUAGCUGUUGGGACCCGAAAGAUGGUGAACUAUGCCUGAAUAGGGUGAAGCCAGAGGAAACUCUGGUGGAGGCUCGCAGCGGUUCUGACGUGCAAAUCGAUCGUCAAAUUUGGGUAUAGGGGCGAAAGACUAAUCGAACCAUUGGGCACUACUA
rnacentral:rRNA from 1 species